rnacentral:rRNA from 1 species
UGGGGAAUAUUGCACAAUGGAGGGAACCCUGAUGCAGCGACGCCGCGUGAACGAAGAAGGCUUUCGAGUCGUAAAGUUCUUUUAUAUGGGAAGAUAAUGACGGUACCAUAAGAAAAAGCGCCGGCUAACUACGUGCCAGCAGCCGCGGUAAUACGUAGGGGGCUAGCGCUGUCCGGAAUCACUGGGCGUAAAGGGUUCGCAGGCGGAAAUGCAAGUCAGGUGUAAAAGGCAGUAGCUUAACUACUGUAAGCAUUUGAAACUGGAUAUCUUGAGAAGAGUAGAGGUAAGUGGAAUUUUUAGUGUAGCGGUGAAAUGCGUAGAUAUUAAAAAGAAUACCGGUGGCGAAGGCGACUUACUGGGCUCAUUCUGACGCUGAGGAACGAAAGCGUGGGUAGCAAACAGG